rnacentral:rRNA from 1 species
AUUGAACGCUGGCGGCAGGCCUAACACAUGCAAGUCGAACGAGUGGCGGACGGGUGAGUAAUGUCUGGGACACUGCCCGAUGGAGGGGGAUAACUACUGGAAACGGUAGCUAAUACCGCAUACCAUCAGAUGUGCCCAGGUGGGAUUAGCUAGUAGGUGGGGUAACGGCGCACCUAGGCGACGAUCGCUAGCUGGUCUGAGAGGAUGACCAGCGACAUGGGAACUGGGACACGGUCCAGGCGCCUACGGGAGGCACCAGUGGGGAAUAUGGGGCAAUGGGGGAAAACCUGAUCCAGCCAUGCCGCGUGUGUGAAGAAGGUCUUCGGAUUGGAAAGAACGUUAAGUUGGGAGGCGUUACCAACAGAAUAAGCACCGGCUAACUUCGUGCCAGCAGCCGCGGUAAUAC